CACUCCAGUUGCUUGCCAAGUGUCGUCGAGAACGUGUUGUGUUGAUCUCUGUCUCUCGACGUCAGUGCCGCUGUUGGUCGUCAAUCCACCGUUUGUCAUCACUUGACCGUCUAACGUUUCAUUGCUGUGCCUCACGCUUUCUAUCAUCAGUAAGAGAGUGAUAUUACAUCUGAUCGAGACGUACGGGAUUGUCCACCAUGAGUACAUCUCAGCAGGAUGACUACCAACGCUACAUCACAGACAAUAUGGUGGAACUUGUUCAAAGGCUGUGUGUGUCUGCUAUAAUAGACCAUUUACUCUCACAUCGUUUGCUAACAAUGGAAGAAGGUCAUCGACUGAGUCAAUGUUCUACUGAGCAAGACAGAGCUAGGAUGCUGUUUUAUCACAUUCUACCAUACAAGGGAAAUGACGUUGUUGGUAGAUUGUGUGACGUCCUCGUGGCUGCAGGACAGCAGCACAUAAUAAGAGAAGUUAUGGGUAAAGAAGAUGGAGUGGAGAGUGCAAAGUGUAGCAUCAAAGUUGGUGUGAGUGGUCAGAAAGGGUCGAGUCAACGAUUUGUGUCAUCACGAUACCGACCAUCUGGUACUCGAUGUGAGAGUGAGAGGAAAGAGGGAAGUGCAGCACGUGACUUAGAAGUUGUGAAAACUGCAGUGUGUAGUAGGAAAGUCAAUGCAAGCGUAUGUCGAUGGUUGGAAGAAGAAAGUGUGAGGUCGACAGAUUUCAGUUGUCACGACGACUGCAAAGCGUCUGCAGCACUGGAUGUGUGUGGGGAGAGGAUGACUGAGUCACUGGCAGAACAAGUAGAAAGUGAAGAUGAAGAAGAAACGUUAUCAUAUCUAGAUGCAGAAGUGACAACAUCACGUAAUCCAGUGGAAACAUCAGGGGGAAGUGAAGAGCCACCAACCGUCAGUACCGAUGUAACUAGUGAGGCUGCUGGUGUGUGUGCACAUGCAUCAUCUUCACUCACAUCAGAAGACGAGUCGUGGCCUGCCAUUCGAAGGAAUCAUGAUUUCCUUUUCCGACAUCUUCUUUUCAGUCAGGAAUUUCUUCGUCGUCUCUAUGAGCAACGUUUCAUAUCAAAAGAUGAGUUUGGGUCUCUUCGUCGCAGCUCUCUCAGUCAGGAAGCAAAUAAACAUCGUCUUCUCGUUGAUAUUCUUCCCAGCAAGCCAAUGAGUAUGUUUCCAGCAUUCUGUAACAUUCUUCACAGUGUGGGUCAAUCAGAUGUUGCCGUAAAGCUGGAGGAGAAUGUUGUACAUGACAAUCGUUUGUUACAAGAGACUAGACAUCAACGAAAUAGAAGUUUAUCAGAGAAAGUGGAGACAUUGACAGCUCAAGUUGCUCGACUAGAAAGAGAGAAAACAGCAGCUUGUAAGCAAACUGAAGAAGAAAGGAAACGAAGUCAUGCAGAAAAGUUACGUGCUGAUGCUGGAGAUUGGACAAAUUUGGCUUUUCGUUGUGACAAAGCACAAGAUGUUAAGAAGAUGAAGAAUGUAUUACCAAUAGGCUGGGAGAUGAGAAGGACUGAUGAUGGGAGAAUCUACUUUGUAGACCACAAGACAAGAACAAUAACUUUGGAUGAUCCAAGGGAAAGGAAUGUGAAUGUUGGGUGUAAUGAGAGACGAUUUGAUGAGAUGCAGUCACAGCAAGAGAAUGAAAUCAAUGACAGUCUGCCAUCAUGGACACAGUGGAAUGUACACAUACCUCAUUACAGGUUGUGGUGUCCAUAUAAUAGAAUGGGAGAGAUUGAAGGCAGACUAGUGGUAGGAGGUCUUGAUGGUAAUCUGCAUGUUCUCACUUAUGAACAUGAUAAGUGGGACAAGUUUGUCAGAAAGAAUGGUGACAUCAGGAAUGUAGUGUGUCAUCAAGGUGUGUGUCUGGUGUGUGUGAAGGAUGGAGAUAAAGAUCAGUUUGUGAUUGAACAAUUUCAUUUGAAUGAAGACAAGAAAUGGCGUUUCCUCACAGUUCUACCAAAUGAACUGCAGUUGUAUGAUGUAUCUGUUGCUCUUCAUGACAACUCACUGUAUGUGGUGGGUGGUAUGACUAAGUCAUGGGAGAGAGUGAACACAGCACGUGUGUGUGACCUUCACAGCGGUCAUUGGUAUAAGAUGGAUGACAUGCAAACAAAACGUAGUGACUGUUCUUCUGUUAUUAUAAACAACACAGUGUUUGUAGGGGGAGGAGAGACUGAUGGACAUUACUCUAGUAAUAUUGUUGAGUGUGCAGAUGUUCGUGAUAGAAAAUGGAGAACAAUCCCCUCUACAACCACAUAUUGGCCUACACUAACGUCAGUCAGUAACAGACUGGUGGGGACUGGAGGAAUGACAAAACAACAGGGGUAUUCUCUUCCUUCUAAUAUUGUAGAAUUAUAUGAUGAGAGGUCUACCAAAUGGCUUCCUCUUCCACUCAUGACACACAAACGGGAGGAACAUGCUGCAUUCUCAACUCAGAAUGGAGAACUCAUCACAGCAGGAGGGUUGGAUGGUGGACAUUCAAUAGAAAGUCUUAAGUGUGACUAAUAUUUGCAUUUUCUUUCAAUUUGUGUGUAUUUGUUAUAUUAUAAUCUCUAGUGUUUGUAUAAAGACAAUUUGGUGUGAAAUUUAGUGUGUGUAACAUAAACUAGAUCCUGAAGGUUGUUUUCUUAAUGAGUAGUCACGUGAUUUGCAUUUUGAACGAGCAGUGGUGAAGUGGAAAAAGGAAUGCAAGCGUUGAACAUCCGGGAGAGUUUGUGCUUAAUUUCUAGCUUUAAAUGUUUGUUCGUGUUCGUUGCUCUUUGGACAAGCGUAGCAGUAAAUCUGGUUUCAUAACGGAAAUCAGCGAGAAGGUUAUCGAUGCCAGUCAGUUAAUCAUUGAAAUGUCGACGACGUGAAUGGAUUUUUCUUCAUUUCUCAAUCGGAACUUGUCUGUCUUGCUUUAGUCGGCGAGGUUGGACUUGCGAGAUUGAUAAACGUGGUUCGUAGCUUUGAUAUUCCUGUUGAGAGUGGAGAAAACGACGAAUUGAAGUGAAAGUUGUCAGAAAUGUCAUUGGACUGACGACUGUCAACGGCACCGAGUUCUUACUGCAAGCUCCAGACACUGAGACUGGAGAUAGUUGGGCUGAGGUGAUCGGUGAUACGAUACAACAGCUGGAGCAAGACAAAACGAUUGUGAAUACAAUGGUUGCUGAAUGUGACAUUCGUUCAACUCGCAGGCCAUUGCUUGAUGCUCAUAAUAGCUGGAGAAUCUUCUAUUGGACAGACACGGACACAUCAAGCUUGCAGACUUUGGUCUUUGUAAAGAAGACAUCACGAAAGACACAACGACCAGCACCUUCUGUGGAACACCAGAAUAUCUAGCACCCGAGGUUUAGAAGAAAGUGAUUACGGUCGAGCUGUUGACUGGUGGUGUGUCGGUGUGGUUACGUAUGAGAUGAUUUGUGGUCAGCUGCCAUUUUAUAACAGAGACCAUGAAGUGUUGUUUGAGCUCAUUCUGACUGUAUGUGUGAGGUGAUGGUUUUGAAAUUUGAAUGAUGCUGACAUGGGUUGUUCUCUCGGGAAGCAAUCAAGUUUCCUUAACGAGUGUUUUCUUGUCAAGAUCUUUGCUAGCUGGACUGCUGGAUAAGGAUCCACGGAAAAACUUGGUGGAGGUAACCGUGGUGCAUCUGAGAUUAUGGAUCAUGCCUUCUAUAGCAGCAUCAACUGCCAGGACAUUUAUGUUCGCAAGG